UCUUCCAGGAGCACCGGGUGGUCCAUCUUUACCUUGAGGGCCCUAGAAAGAAAUCCAGUAAGUAAUUAAAACAAACAAACAACAACAACAAGAAAAUAACAGAAUGCAUAAAAAAUUUUGAGUAUCAAUUAUUCAGUUGAACAAUCUGCGGUCAUCAUCAAUGUUUCAAAUGUCAUUUUGUUAAUCCUGAAUUCCUCAGUUUCCUUUUUGAAAGGCUAUUUUUUUAGUAAAGAAUAAAAAAGAGGUCCAGGUGGCCCUUCUCUACCUCUUUCUCCUCUGGGACCAGGUGGACCCUGAAAGAAGAAAAGCAUCAAUAAUGGAUUCCACAAUAUCAAGUCUCUGUAUGUUGAAUUAAUCAAUUCAAGCAAGGUUAUUUUAAAUAUGCAUCAAAGUCUAAAAGAAAGUUUAUAAAAUGACAGCAUCUAAAAAUGUGAAUUUUACAUAAUUUGGAAUAGUAAAAUUCUUUUUUUAUAUACCUACAGUCAAAACAAAUGCGGUCUUAUUCUAUCUUAUAACUACAGUAAAACUACAAUUUUUAUGUAGUUUCACGUUUUUAUGUUUAUAUAAUUUUUAGGUAGUUCCGAAAAUUAUACAAGUUACACAUUUUUUUAUAAAUAAAUGCUUUUUAUGUGUGAAAAGAUUUGUGUUGUACCUCAAAUACCGACUACUAUACUGUAUGCAGAUUAAUAUAAUGCUAUUGAAAACAUGUUUAAUACAUGUAUAAUAAUGUUUUCUAAAAACCUGGUGUUUUGUUUCAUCAUUCAAAGGAGAGAACAUUACCGUAUAUGAAGAUAUUACAAUCCAUCGAUCAUGUCUUAUUUUGUUGAUCGCAAGCUAUUUAUUAUAUCAUUAGAUUAUUAUUUUACGCUUUUCACGUGCCAGGUAGGUCAUGAGGAGGAGAUGCACACACUUAAGAAAAGUUUAUCAAAAUACUCUUCAUUCGUACUUGCUCCAUUAAUUCUCAGCUGUGUGUUCUUAAUUAUUUAUUAUGUUUUGCAAUCUAAAUUUAAAUAGGCUGAGAGGUAUUACGUAAAAGAAAUUACACUUUACGUUAUCUUUGCCUUAGAACUGAAAAUAAUCCGCGGUGGUUGUGCGUAUUUUUCAUUGGAAUGAUUGAUUUUUCUUUGAUGGAUUUUAGUUAAGCAUAAAGAUUCUUGCUUCUCAGAUAUCUGAUAUCAUUUUAUAAUAUUUGCAAGCAUACAAUGUAAGACUUUUAAUGCAUGUCAUAAUUUACAAUUAAUUGCCAUUAUGACUCAUUGGCUUUCUCAAAAUGGUACCUUAAAAAAGAAAAAAACUGAUUAAAAAAGUUAUUUUUCCUUUACCAUAACUUUCUUCCAAUUUCAACUCAAAAGCUCUUUAUUUCUUUUAUUUUACUGCAAGAAAAUAUGUUUACAAAGCAAUUCACCUUAGUAAACAUAUU